UGACAGGAGCCAGGGUCCAGGAGACAUA
rnacentral:piRNA from 1 species